rnacentral:lncRNA from 1 species
AUUACAUUUCCCCUCAUCAUUUUUGUCUCGCUGAAGGGAGCUACCAUUUGAUUUUUAUGGGGGGGCUAGGAUGAAAAAUUUUGUCCUGCAUUUUUUUUUUAGGUGUAAUCUCUGUCAUGCCUUUUUAUUUUUCACUCUAUUCGGUCCUGCUUUUUUUUUUUAUUAGUUUAUCCUGACUUUUUUUACCUAAAUUGUCAUCCUGCCUUUUUUUUUGCAAAGUGUCUCAUCCUGCCUUUUUUUUUUACUCAAAACUCCUGUCCUGCCUAUUUUUUUUCAAAUUUCAUCCUAGCCCCCCCAACAAUGUAUUAGUAUGUGAUGAUGUAAGUUGAUGGUGAACCGAGUCAAAGAUAUUUAGUACACAGCUGUAUUAGCACUAGCACAUUUCAUUACCAUGGGGAUUAUUUGGCCCUG